rnacentral:rRNA from 1 species
UACGUAGGGGCCUAGCGUUGUCCGGAAUUAUUGGGCGUAAAGAGCUCGUAGGCGGUUCGGCAAGUCGGAUGUGAAAUCUCCACGCUUAACGUGGAGGGGCCAUUCGAAACUGCUGUGACUCGAGUCCGGUAGGGGAGUGUGGAAUUCCCGGUGUAGCGGUGAAAUGCGCAGAUAUCGGGAAGAACACCCGUGGCGAAGGCGGCUCUCUGGGACGGUACUGACGGCUGAGACGCGAAAGCGUGGGGAGCGAACAGG